rnacentral:sRNA from 17 species
CGCUCACGCUGGCGAGGUGCUGACCGCCAGGGCGUGGGGGACAUCGAGCACUGGGGGGAUGCCGUGAGAAGCUCGACGCGCUGGCGAAGAUAGAGGCGCGAGGCGAAAUGUCUGUCGGGC